rnacentral:lncRNA from 1 species
AGCACUGCCUCUGCUCCGCCCUGUUUGCAUAAACUCUCUUUUAUUUCUUUUCAGAUAAGUCAUAAUACCCGCCUUUGAACUCCAAAGAGUACAAAUGGACUUUGUUUUCAUCACCAUUCUUGUAUAAAUUGACAUAUUUAAGCAAGAAUAAGUAGUUACGCAACAUAUACGUGUACCUAAACUAAUCAUAUAGAACAACAGAUAUGUUGAUCAGAUUUUCGUGGAAAUAAAUAACGAAAAUGAAAGCCUAUCCCUGUCUUGAACAAUACCGUUUAAUCAUGGGGCCAAGGACCAUGAUUUUCUCUCGAACAAUCCGUCCCAUAAUCCAUUUGUAUUAAGAACAAACACAAAAAUACAAAGCACUUUUUCUCUAUAAAUAUUUACAGAUGAUAUUUUCAUGGGUUAAUUCUAUCCGAAAAACACUAUAAUGGGGCAAAAUGUUUGCUGCAUGAAACAGCCAGAUUUACCUAAUGAGCCUAAAAGGAUUAUCCGUUUUGACUCGAAUUGCAGCACUCCUGCCUCUUCGACAGCUUCAAGAAUAAAUUCAAGGCAAGAACAGAAAAGUCUUUGCAGUCCUCCAACGAGAAAAUUACCUGGAGCGACUGAAGCUUGGACAUUGGAGCGAUGCCUUAUGGAUUCGCCAGAAGUGAAUAUAUCUCCAUGUACUAAUAAUAUUGGUGGUGAUAAUCGCCUUAAAUUUGUGAAGAGGUACAAGAAAAUUGACAUGACUUCCCCUGAUCUGAAUACGGAUUUCUUUACUCCGAGUCUCAGCUUCUCCUCCAACAAAUUAGGACUUCUACAGAAUAUUGAUGAAGGGGAAGAUGUAGGUUCUUGUGGGGGUUCUAGAGGUCGGAAGGUGAACAAGAAAGUGAGCUUCAAAUUGCCCGAAGAAGCUGAUAUCAUCAUAUUCUACUCACCUAGAGAGAAGUUUGAAGAAUACUAGAGUUAAAAAGAAGUUUUUCUUAUUCAAGUAUUAGGUCAUCUGCAGAAUUUUGAAUUCAUGCAUGAUGCAUACACAGUGAUCAGCCUCCGCGAGCAGAGCUGGCUCCAGAUGUUAGAAGACGUGAUCUAACACAUAGCAAGUAAACACUUAAUCAUCCGUCCCAGAGCUUGGGUGCUUGGAAUAUUACCCCUAGUAGUGAAUUCAGCAUGUACAGAAAUAAUUGGCCAUAUGGUCUCAUAGAGUAUGUU